CCAAAGGCUCUUUUAAGAGCCACUCCAUGUACAGUGAAAGGAGCUGU
rfam:Aptenodytes forsteri contig10749, whole genome shotgun sequence.